AGCGUGUGCGCACAUGUUUCCGCUUAUCUUACCGUGAUUUUUUUAAUUCUCAAAGUCCUUACUUCUGCGACGAGUGAUCACCGAGAUUGGUAUUGUAUUAGCAAAAUUUCAACUGCACUCUGCUUAGAUAUUUGAUAAGUUGAAUAUCCAAAUGCUGUCAGUGUGGAUAUUUAUGCGUGCAAAGUCCUUCACCACCUCUGUGACACAUGCUGCAAUAUUUUGACCGAUGUUGUAAUUUCUUGAAAUAAAACCGAUCGUCAAAUGAUUUAUUCCGAUAGUGCAGUGGUUACUCUGUAUAUUUAGUAUAUGAUCAUUACUCUAUUUUGGAAAUUUUACAACCGACUUUUCAUUUGGUGAACUGAAGUACAGAUGGGAAAAACAAAGAAAAAAACUGGAAACCAAGACAGGUUGAAAAAGGUGAAAGAAACAAGUACCUUCAAACCACAUAACAAAAAGAAACCCAAAUUGCCAAAGGGUGGAAAGAGCAUCAGCGGUUCUCCUCUUGAGAAUAUUUCUGCGAUUCAGGAAAAUUAUUCAUUGAAAAAGAGAAAGAAGUCUGCAAAACUUUUGUCUAAAAAGAAAAAAAAGGAAUCUAAAGCUUUGCAAGACAAUGAGACUAGAGGAAAGAGUGCUUUUAAUGUAUUGAAAGUUAGUGAACCAACAUGUAAGGCGAGUGAAUCUGUUAAAGAAUACACAGAAAGAGUCGACCACAACUCUUCUGGAAAGAAACUUAAGCCCAUAGUAAAUGGGAAACAGACUAAUGUGAAACAAAAUAAAUCUAGAAAGAAAUCUGCAGGAAAUAAUUCCACAGCUCAGACUGUCAAAUCUGACAAAACAUCAGAGACAGGUAACACAGCAGUGGACAGUGAAAGUCAGCAGAAAACAAAAUCAAUAGCAAAAAAAGUUAAGAACAAGGGGAACACAGCAAAAUGUAAGACUCCUCAAACUGUGUCGAAUGAGUGCAGUGUAUCAAAGAGAAAGAGGAGGGAAACAGAUCAAGACAAGACUGAAGGAUCAGGGGAGAAGAAGUUUAAAGAGGCAGAAAUAGCUUCCCAAUCAGCUAAAUCAACUGAUUCAACCGUACAGCCUCACCCAGAAAACCAGUCAACUGUGCCAUCCCACUCUGAAAAUAAGUCAACUGUACCACUUCAAGAAGAAGUGAUUGAUUUGAUAAGUUCAGAAUCUGAAAUGUCUGACAGUGACUUCUCUUUAGUUGACCUCACUUUGGAUGACCCUACCUAGUGUGUUAGUCCAGAUCAACUUCAGGAACAUCAAGAUGAACGCUGAGCCGCUCACUCCUGAGUUUGUGAACUACCAGCCAGGGUGGGUGGGGCACUCCAGGUUCUACAGAAGUCGUGACUGUUCCGGUCUACAGGGGAACUCAGAACAUUGUCUGCUUGCGCUCGACUCUCCGGCUAACACUACCAGGCGGCGAGAUCAGUGGAAGCCCUUUGAGCUGCGAGACCUGGCCGUGAUCAGCUACAUGAGUUCUGUUCUGAGCAAGGACUCGAGCCUGAGUCUGGAGACGCCGUACGGAGUUCCGUGGAGUAACAUCGCCAUCAACAUCUGUAGGAAGGGCAUGCCCAAGCAGGAGUGGAUGUCGGCCAUUAAUGCUACAAUAGUGGGUCUGGCUCAUGCUGAUCUGUCAGAGGCCAGGAAAGAUGGAGAGGAUGAGCCUUAUUUCUUUGACACCACCCCUGUCUGCCCCUGUAUAGGGUUUGGUAUGGUUCGAGCCAUUGACAUGGAGAGGAAGACCAUCUACAUCACCACGCCCCUGAGUCUGGUUGACCUGGUGUAUGUGAACACCCUCAUCCGUGGCUCCAGUAAUGUCCCCCAGCAGAUCUUUACUGAACAGAUCACCAGGGAAGUAAGGGAAAUUCCUUAUGUGAGCAGAAUUACCUCCACCUGGGCCUCAAAGAAUCCCAGACAGAGAAAGCAUAUCCCAGCAAAGUCAAGGAAGAGAGCAACAGAGGCUAAUACUUCCACAGAAUAAAGAGAGAGAGAGAGAGAGAGAGAUUUAUUUUUUGAGUUUUUUCAUGAUUUAAAUCUUUGGUUUCAGCUUCAGCUACUCAGAUAUGUAUAUGUACUUUACCUCAUGUAUAUUCAUAAUUAUUGAAUGUUCGCAAAAGAUACACAGGAUUUUUGGUCAAAAUCACUGAAUUGAAAGAAACAUGUUGAAAUAAAAAGUAACAGUGUU
rnacentral:misc_RNA from 1 species